rnacentral:rRNA from 1 species
UACGGAGGGUGCAAGCGUUAUCCGGAAUCACUGGGUUUAAAGGGUGCGUAGGCGGUUCGAUAAGUCAGUUGUGAAAUACCCCGGCUUAACCGGUGGACGUGCGAUUGAUACUGUUGGACUUGAAUCAGGUUGAGGUAGGCGGAAUGUGGCAUGUAGCGGUGAAAUGCAUAGAUAUGCCAUAGAACACCGAUUGCGAAGGCAGCUUGCUGGACCUGAAUUGACGCUGAGGCACGAAAGCGUGGGGAGCAAACAGG